rnacentral:lncRNA from 1 species
AAUUGUUAAAGAAACAUUUCAUACUUUCAUGAUCAUCUUUUGAAGCACAGAAGUGUAUGUACUAUCCUAUCAAAGUAAGUGAUAUUAACUGCUCACAGGAGUUCGGCAAAUGCUGGGAAGCAUUCGUCGAAACUCUGCAUAUAGCAAGAGCUUCCCCAUACCCCAUGGAAAGUUGAACAACAAUUACAGCCAGCAGUGCUGCGAAUCUUGUGAGACAUCAGAUAGGUGUCCUCCUGAUGGACCACAUAAGCAGCAAUGAUGAUGGGACCGGUUCGUCUCCCCGCGGCAACAAGAAGCUCUCCUUCAAGACCCCUCGCAAGGUGUCCUCAGCGGUGACCUCAUCCGGAGCGGCCGCUGCUGCCACCACGCCCCCUGAGAGCCCCAUGCCCCCACCCAGGAGACCCAAGGAUGGAAUGCAUCAUGUUAAUCUCAAGAAAUAGAGUGUGCUUUUUUUUUUAUCUUCUGUGAAGGUAGUUUUUGAUCGUUUUCUUUUCCUUUUCUCGUUGUCUUUGUCUUGGUCGUCAUUUCCCGUUGUUUUUUUUAUUAUUCUUUGCUGCAGGUGUUAUAGAGAGCACUCUUUUUUACACAGUAGCAAGUUGAUUGAAAUUCAUUGGUCGUCGUCACUCUCGUAUGUUUUAAGUUCUGAAUGCCAAAGGGAAAUAAUUAAACAUGGUGGCGAUGAUGAAUUUAUUGUUAAUGACCACAUUUAGAAAAUUAAUGUGAUUUCAAAAUGCAAAAAGUGACCAAGUAUGACAAAUUGCAGGUUAUUGCUCAGUGGAAGUCUGUCUGUGCUUACAAAUAAUUUCAUACAACUGCAAGCAAUUCUUUCGCCUCAAGUCUUGUGAGAUGUUUCACAUAUGAAGACUUGUAAAAGGGAAAAAAAAUGUAUAUGCUGGUGAAGUGACUGAUGUAUAAACAUUCUUAUAAUAUUAUGGAUAAUAUUUACUUUGACAGAAUAUUCUGAAUUAUUCUCUACCUAGUUAGCUUAAGAUAACUGAUGCAUCUAAUUUAUUAUGUAUGUACUAUGGCAGUACAUUGCUGAAACCUAUAUGGAAAGGGUAAAGGAGAGCAGGAAGUUACAAAUGUUAAUAGCAAGCAAAAUUAUUUUGUCUCGCUGUGACUCGCAAGAUUCUCUGUGGUUUGAUGCUGAAAUGCUAAUAUUCGUGGCAUACACAUGUGAUUGUGAGUUUUCUUUGUGUUUUUGAAUAGAGGAAGGGAGGAUAGAUAAUCUUUAUUUCUUUCAAUUAACAUUCUUUUCUUUGUCUUGAGCUGAUUUAAGAUGAUCCAGCAUGAGGAGUCCCGAGUUCUGAUAUAGAUUUUUUUUCUUUCCUAUUUUAUUAUAGUUUCUUAGUUUGAAUUAUACUGCUGUGGAUUAAAAAAUGUUGACUGCAUGGUGUGCAGAUAAAAGUAACCAUGACUUGAGAUGUAUAAUUACAAUUUUUUUAAAAAGGAAAUUUGUAAACAGUGUCAAAUAUUAUAUUUGAGGCUGUGGAAAAGGAAAUGAUAUUUCCAGUUUCUUUGUAAGGUUUUGGGUUGGACAGAAUAUUAAAGGUCUCUGUAUACCACGAGGAUUACCAUUUCACACAAACUUACUAAAUGCCAAAAAAGAGAAAAGAGAAGUAUCUAAGAAGGUCACAUAUAUGCUAAUGGAAUAUUUAAAACCUAAACUUGACAGUAGGUGGACUUCUUGGUACCAGGGAAGGGAAAGGAGGAUUGUUGCUGAAGUAGCUGUGUUUGUAGUAGGUAUGAAGGGGGUUUAAACAUGGGUUCUGCAAUUACCAAGGGAUUUGAAGAAAAAAUAGAGCUUUUAAUUGCGUUUCCCCUCUUGGUCACAUGCAAGAAGCACAAGCUCUGUGAAUAUAGAAUGCCUUAUUUUUACACAGUGAAGGUAAUAUAGGUAAAACAAACAAAAAAAGGAAUUUGUAAUUAGAAGGGGCUUUCAAAUAGAUUAUCUUGAGUUUGAUAUUGCUGACCAAAGCUUUAGUUCUGCAUGGCUAUGAGGAAUACAUGAUUGGUUCUUAACCUGAUUAUCUAAACACUUGGAAUAUGUUUUUUAUAUGAUUGAUAUGAAUAUUCAUGAAUAUUUUUUUCAUUUUUUUUGCUACAGACUUUGUACUGUGAUAAAUGUAUUCCUAUAUUGCUGUGCUGGAAAACUGAAGAAAGCAAUCUGUUGCAUUUAACAUGCAUACUCUGAGUGUUAGUGAUUUUCCAGACUGAAGUCAUUUGGUCUGUCCAGAGAGAGGUUUUCAAGCUGUAACCCAUGUGAUGAGUCUGCUUCAGUUGUUCUUGAUAAUGACUGUUGUAUACCAUGCAUUGUUGGCUCAAGAACAUGCACCCAUGCACUCACACAAACACAUACGCAGACUCAGACAAAUGCAAAUAGACACACAAAUAGACACUUGCAUGCAGACACACACAUGCACAGGCACACACAGGAACAGACAGACAAGUGGACAUAGUAACUCACUCAUGUUAUGCUAUAAGAGGUUUGUGAUGAAACAAGAAUUUCUCUACAUUUGAUUACUAUUUAUAUGAAAUUGAUAUCAAAUGCACUAGCAAGAGUAACUGUAAACUAUGGUUAUUAAUUGUUUUUGAAUGCAAAAAGAGAUUAUAUAUAUAUUUUUCAUCAUUGGUGUUCUGUAUGUACAUUUUAUUGAUAGUUAGGAAAAAGGAUUCCUGUGUAGCAUGCCAAACUAAGGUGCAAAAAGUGUUAGAUAUUAAUGAUGAUAUCUAUGGACCUGACGGAGCACGAAUCAUAUCUGUUAAGGCUUGGGACUGUGAAUAGCAAAUUAUUAGUCAGGUAGAAAAUCAUGCCAAUUCUUGCACAUUAUAAGAUAACAGGAAUAGAUGUUCACGGAUAUAGAUAAGUGGAGAUGAAAGUCUGAUUGCAGGAAAGUACUAUAUAUUAUUAAUGUGGAUGAAAGUAUUCCUGUAACCAGAUGAUUAAGAUUACAUUUCAAUUUACUCUCAGCUUUCACAGUGAAUUUAUGGAUGCUCACUGUCUUCUCUUCAUCUUCGUGAGAUGAAAUGUGAUGCCUUACACAUCAUUUCUUCCAUGCAUAACUUGUAUAGAAUUUUAUUUAUGAAUAUACAGUGUAAACAGACAACAGCAGUGUUCAUUAUGGAAAACUUAAUAGUAAAUGUUUCAAGUGGUUUGGAACCUGUCCACCUCUUUUGAGUAUCGUUGUUAGUAUUCAAAUAAAAAAAGAAAUCUUGGCAUGUGUUGUGAAAGGCUAACUAACACUCUUAAGGAUAUACUUUUGUUUAUGAUUUAGUGGUCCUUCUACUGCUAUACUACUACUGCUACUGUUCAGUCUUGCAAGAUUGAAGAUAUAAACACAACCAAAGAUUUGUUGUCAUUUAAGGAACACAGAUCUGCUCCAAGUAAAUGUUUUGAUUGUUUUGGGAGAAAUUGCUUGCUUUGUAAGAUUUGCUUUGUGUCCAAGGGUUUGUGUAUGUAAGUUGAAUAAUUAUGAAUACAGCAAUUUACUCUUGCCUUUAGCAUUGAUUAGUAAAUUUUUGUACUUAGGGAAUGCCAACAUUUUUUUUCUUGUGAUGUAUCUGUAGAGGAUUGCAGUAUAAGUUGUAUAUUGUUCAUAACCACCGGCUUUUGUGGAUUACUGAGAAGCACAAAACUACAAUUUUCUGAUCCCCUGUGCUGUCAAAUUCCAGUGAAAGAUAUUUGCAAUUAGUGUGUUACCACCUGUGACAGAGUUCCUAGUUGUGUGGUGUACUAGAAAGAGGUUUGCCAGUGACAAGGAGUGGAAACUUUAACUUGGCACUUGAUGUAUCCGUGAUCAUGGAGAAUUUGGUUUUAGUACACCACCAGCCUAGUGGUUCUGUAGUGGUCCUGUUAAGGCUGUUGAGGCCAGUUUCGUUUGCUGUUAAUCAUUGAUUUAGCAGGAUCAGUAAAUAUAACAUUUAGGUUAUUAUAUAAGGAGUACUUAAUUUAUCAACUAUGUAAAAAUUUAUUUAAGCCCUUUUUUUUUUUUUUGCUUUAGGAAUGUUGAUAACUGUAGUUCAAAUAAUACUUCCAGUCUUCGUAUUGGUUCCAGCUUCUGAGAUCAUCGUACUUUACACACCAAUCAUCACAAGAAUCAAAAGAUACCUGAAUUACAUGUAUGAGUGAUGGUUAAAGCCUCUUGAAUUAUUUUAUAGUUAUCUGUUGUUGUUUUCUUUCAUAUUAAUCUCUUUUCUUGAUGUAUAUACGUACUUACCUCUGAAAUCACUUACGUAUUUUAAGAAAUGAAUCGAUGGUUGUUAGAUGGAUGUUUUUCUGUAGGUUUAUUUUUAUUUAUCCUUUUUUUUUCUUCUUUUUAGAAAUUUAUAUAUAUAUAUUUUAAGUAAUUAGUUCUGAUUAAUUUAACCUUCUUAUGAUAUAGAAUCGUGAAUCUUCUGUCAGGCUUAAAAGUUUGUUUUGCUUGUCAAAAUUUUUUUUUGGUUUAAAGAAUACUGUCUUUUGAUUAUAUUAUUUUUUUCAUCAUAUUUUUUAUGUGAUUUAUUGGGACAAUCCCUUUGGACAAAUCCUGAUAAUUGUUUUCUUUCGUAAUUCUCAAUAUGAGACCCAUUUUCGCUACAGUGGAUUCCAAUUAUAUAGAUAGAUAUUUUCAGCUUUAAGUUUCUGGUUUUAGAAGGAGAUUUUAGUGUAAUUUAAUGUGAUUGCUCCUGUAAGUAUUUCUACCUGUGUUUAUGAUCUAUUUUUUUAUAUUUGAUUUUUUUAGUGUGAAAUAUUUGCAUGCUGUGGCAUAAAUAGCACAAAACAUUACAUUUGUGUCAGCAGUUUGAGUAAUUUAUUUUAUUAUUGUCUCUUCUGUGGUUGUAUUUUGAUUUUUGUCUUUAUUUUAUUUUUUUACUCUUCCUUUAUGUUAAUUAGGUGUUUAAAAGGAAACUUGAUAGAAAUCUUGUAUAUCUUCAAUACUCUGUGAUACUAUUCCUUCCUCAGAUUAAAAAAAAAGCAAAAACAAAAAAAGACGUGUUUAGAGCUACGACUAGUAAAAAAAAAUGAAUCCUUAAAAAAAGAAGAGAGAGAAAAAAGAAAACAUUUCCUAAUUUUCUUUCUUCUAUACAGAAAAGAGAACUUGUGGGAGUUUUUUCUUUUCUUUCUUUUUUUCUUUUAAUAGGGGACCAGAUUCUGCUGUGUUGUGUCUUGUGUGUGAAACGACUCUAAGAAGAAAGUGGAUUUCUCUUGACUUUGUAGCUUCCACCAGAGCAGCAAAGACUGAUUUGUUUACUUUUUCAGAAAGGGAACCGUUUGGAUUUAAGAGGUGGCAUGCAUUAAUUCUUUAUUUAUAUAUAUAUUUUUUACUUGUUUUAGUGAUUUUGGAAGUGAUACAUAGAAUAACAGUUAUGUAGUAAAUUUGAAUAUCAAAAUCUGUGAAGGCCCCGACUUCCUUAGCAGUAUUAUACACAAAGACUGAACAGCAGUUUAGCGUUACUUUUCAGAUACUGGUCAUUAUGUUGCCAAUAACAGCUUCAGAGUGUAAAGACUGGCAUAGGGCUUAGUGCUUAUGCAAUAUCUAUCCAUUUUGCCUAGCUGUUCUUGCAGUAUAUUCAGCAUUUUCUUCUGACUGCGGUGGAUGUUAUUAUCAUUUGAUGAUGCAUUUGAAAUUUGCCCACUGUGAUUAAUUACCUAUGUAAGUAAUAUAUAUUUUUUUGGUAUCAAGAUUUUGCAUACAGUAACUAUGUUGAAGCUUACCUUAUAUAUUUCUUCUCAGAAGGAUGUUUUGUGUUAUAUGAAUAGAAGGAAAAUUGCUAAUGUAAGGUUGAUGUGGAGUGUGGGUGACAUUGAGAAGGAAAAUGAGUAUGUUAGAAAGUCAAAAUUUCUCCCUGACUGCCUGUAUAUUGGACAUCAAGGACGUUUGAAAUAUGAACUUACAUUGUUUAAGAUACAAUGAUUGUGAUUUGUUUAAGGUUCGUGAAGAGGAGUAAUCAUGUUUGUGUUGAGCUUGGCAAGUUGAAUGUGUGGCUGAUUAUAUUUAUUGAGAAUUUUUAGUAAAACUUUUUUUUUCAUUAUUGUUGACAGAAAUUGUUGAUGUAUAUUUUAUAUUUCUAUGUCAUUAAUUACAUUAAUUAGAACCCCACUUGACCCAGAAAAAAUGCUGAAUAUUUUACCAGAAAUCACAAACCAUUCCAUCUUCCCUAUGCUACCUUGUACAUGUUGUACAUAGGAGUUUCUGUACAUCUUAACUAUUAUGUAUAUACAUAUAUAAGAAUAAAAUUAUAGUUCUA